rnacentral:rRNA from 1 species
GCAAGUCGAGGGGCGAGCGACAAGGAGCAAUCUGAGGUGGCGACCGGCGGCACGGGUGAGUAACACGUAUGCAACCUGCCUGUAAGCGGGGAAUAACCCGUUCGAAAGACGGACUAAUACCGCAUAAUACUAAAUUACUGCAUGGUAAUUUAUUUAAACAUUUAUGGCUUACAGAUGGGCAUGCGCAUGAUUAGCUAGUUGGAGAGGUAACGGCUCCCCAAGGCAACGAUCAUUAGGGGUUCUGAGAGGAAGGUCCCCCCACACUGGUACUGAGACACGGACCAGACUCCUACGGGAGGCAGCAGUGAGGAAUAUUGGUCAAUGGACGAGAGUCUGAACCAGCCAAGUCGCGUGCAGGAAGAAUGUUCCCUAUGGAUUGUAAACUGCUUUUGCAGGGGAAUAAAGUGCAUCACGUGUGAUGUUUUGUAUGUACUCUGCGAAUAAGGAUCGGCUAACUCCGUGCCAGCAGCCGC